ACAAAAAAAAGGGUGCAAGGCAAAGUUGGAAAAGGCAAAAGGGUGAUCUGUUUGAGAUUAAACUUGAUGCUUGAGGAGCUGCAAUCUAUAAUAUAAUUAAUAUGACGGUGAUAUAUGUGCAAGGGUUUGUGAUGAAGAAUGUUGUCUCCUUUCAAUUCUUGUUAUCCUACACCUCUAAGACACAAGCCUUUUUUUCCUCUCCGAUUUGAAUAAGUAGCUCCUUUGAAAUGUUUUUUACGAUUCCUUUCCUCAGUAACUCGAGUUAUCUGAUUGCAGCCUUGUCCAACAAGAAUUUGGGUUGUUCAUGUCAUUCUUAAGCUACCUUGUCCCAAUGUUCUAAGCAGUCUACAGCAAAACUCAAUUGCCUUAUUCUUCUAUUAAUAAUAUUGGCCAAAAAAAUAAUAAUACAAUAAAUAAAAUAAUAAAAAAGGAAAACACUUGUGGAAAAGUGUAAUAGAUUAUCUGGAGUUUAGUGGCAGAGAGAUACUUCUUUCUUUUAUUAAUUUAUUUAUUUUUAUUUAAUGCAAGGAUUAUGCUGCAAGUAGAGACAU